UUACCNGAGUACUAUGAAUAUUAAAAAAUUUAAAACUCAAAGAACUUGGCGGUGUUUUAGACCACUUAGGGGAACCUGUCUCGUAAUCGAUAGUCCACGUUGUAUCUGACCUUUCUUUGUUUACAGUUUGUAUACCGUUGUCGUCAGUUAACUUUUUAGAAACUAGAAGUUAGCAAUAGAAAUAGAUGAUUUAAUACGUCAAAUCAAGGUGCAGCUAAUGGAAAGGGGAGGAUGGGUUACAAUUAUGUUAUUUAUAAUACGGAAAAUCGUAUGAAAAUAUGUUGAUUUUUAAGGCGGACUUGAAAGUAAAUUAGGUUAUAUGAAUAAUUUGAAUUAGGCUCUGAAACGUGU
rnacentral:rRNA from 1 species